AGGACGAACGCUGGCGGUGUGCUUCACACAUGCAAGUCGAACGAGGCAGCAAUACCUAGUGGCGGACGGGUGAGUAACGCGUGGGAAUCUGCCUUUAGAUGGGGGAUAACGGGUCGAAAGACUCGCUAAUACCGCAUAUGACGAAAGUUGAAAGGAGUAAUCCGUCUAAAGAUGAGCCCGCGUCCGAUUAGCUAGUUGGUAGAGUAAAAAGCCUACCAAGGCGACGAUCGGUAGCUGGUCUGAGAGGAUGAUCAGCCACAAUGGGACUGAGACACGGCCCAUACUCCUACGGGAGGCAGCAGUGGGAAUUUUACGCAAUGGGCGAAAGCCUGACGUAGCGACACCGCGUGAGCGAAGAAGCCCCUUGGGGUGUAAAGCUCUGUCAGCUGGAACGAAAAAAUGACGGUACCAGCAGAGGAAGCAUCGGCUAACUACGUG
rnacentral:rRNA from 1 species